UACAGAGGGGGCAAGCGUUGUUCGGAAUUACUGGGCGUAAAGGGCGCGUAGGCGGCCUGUUAAGUCGAACGUGAAAUCCCCGGGCUCAACCCGGGAACUGCGUCCGAUACUGGCAGGCUUGAAUUCGGGAGAGGGAUGCGGAAUUCCAGGUGUAGCGGUGAAAUGCGUAGAUAUCUGGAGGAACACCGGUGGCGAAGGCGGCAUCCUGGACCGAGAUUGACGCUGAGGCGCGAAAGCCAGGGGGAGCAAACAGGAUUAGAACCAGUACCGUCGUAGACCCAACGUCAGUCCUCGCUACC
rnacentral:rRNA from 1 species